UUUUAGUUACUCCCUCUCUCUCCCUUCUUUUGGCAUGGCUGAGCCAAGAACACAAUACAGUGAAUGCAGCUAACAAGAAAUAUCAAAACAACGACAUGAGAGAGCUAGAGAGCUUCAAAAUGACGUCACUACAUCAGAACCUUCAAUGGCCACCAGUGGGAGCUCCAACGAAUAUCCGACAAGAGGAGCCAUGGAGAUCUCAGUUCAACGAUCCAGUCAACGCUGUUUCCUUUGGUUUUAUCGCCACCGCCAUUCUCAUCUCAAUGUUCAUCGUCAUGGCCAUCUUCGAAAUGCUUAUUCGAGCCACCACCACUAACUCACAUUCUUCUCCGGGUCAGGUCCUUUCGGAUCUAGAGUCGCGGGUGGGGCUCAAUGGCCUUGCAUUUUCUAAGUUUGGUUGCGAAUCUCCCAAGGCAAGUUUUCUUUUUUUCCUCAUUUCUUUAGUUUUCCCAGUAUAAAAAUCUUCUUUAUUAGAGUUUUAUGUGAUAGGGAUGUGAUCCAGAUAAUUCUUUAACUGCUUUGAACACCCUUUUUUCCAAAAAGCAAAACAAGAAAACAUCAUAGCGUUUGUGUACUCAUUGGAAUAAACUGACCCACACACAUGAUGGUUUUGCAUACUAUAUCAUUAGUUUUGUCACACACACACACAUACACACACGGAUACUUUUGCUCACAAGAACUUCGAUUCUAAUCACACAAUCUCAAACUAAAAAUUUUCAGGUUUCCAAAUGAUUCUUGCAGAGGCAUAUGCCACGAGAAUCUCAAUCUUGUGAGGCAACUUACCCGUUGGGAUGAAAUUAAACUCGGAGGCAGUGUAGAGUGUACUGAUCAACAUCUGCAACACCGGAAGAAACUUAGUUUCUCAUCCUUUCAAUGGUAGAAAGCAAUAAUCACAGACAAUGAGUAACAACAUGACUAAGUGGAUAGAGAUAAUAACUAAACACUAAACUAUAAAAAGUAAACGUGAGAUAUAUGACUGCAAACAAGGUGGAAACCAAGGUAAAAAAGUUCUUAACUGCAAAGAUGUGAACUUCGCUAAAAUACAGGUUGGUAGUAUCUUGAUCCAUAAUGUGCCACACCAUUCUCUUCGUUAACAAAGGAAGCUCCUUUGCCUUCUGAAACAUUUCAGAACGAUGUCGUUUUUGUCAAAACAAACACUUAAGAUAAUUUUUUUUAAAAAAGAACAUGAAUCAAAUCCAUUUCUUACCUGAACAAAGCCAGUUAAACCUCCAGUACUGCAAGAUGCAACUACCUGUAUGUUAACACAACAACACUAAUAACUAAACAACAAACGAUGAAAUGAGACAAAAGAACUCAUCUACCCAAUAAUUUUGUGACAGGUGUCUCCUAAGAAACGUCCCUUGGCUCUCUUAAUUAAGAGACGCAUCUUGGGCUAAUAUUUUUUUUUUUUUUUAAUCCUAACCAAUCUAAGCAACUCUAUUAAGAUCCACCAAUAAACUUGCUCUAAACUCACCUAAUUAAGGACCGUUCUGCUUAAUAACACCAUUUUUUAUUUAAUUUUUUUCCCUUUAUUACUUUAGAAUCUCCACCUCAACCUACCGAUGGAGGUGGUCUUACAUUUCAUAUUUGGAACAAGAUAGCUUAAAGUAUUUUCAAUCUUUGUUUAAGUUCAAUUUUCAAGUAUGAUCCAUUUAAAUGAACUAUUUGAAUAAAUCAUUUCGAUGCAUCAUUUAAAUGGUCCAUCUUGAUAAAAAUGACUGAUUGACAAACAAACAUUCUUCAAACAAUUCUGUUUUAUAUUUAGGAGACUCAAAAUGGAGAUCUAAGUGUUGCAGAUGCUUUAAUAGAUGACGAUAUCAAGUGAAAAUAUGUUAUACCCAUGAUUCAUGAAUGUCACAUUUUCGCAUUAUUUUCCAGAAUAAACUUAAAUUUCAUAUUUAAAAUAUUCUUUGAUUGUUUUUUUGCAAGUAUGCUUAAUCCUUUCUUAAAUCUAAAGUAUUUUCUAUCUUUGCUUAAUUAAAUACAGUUUUCAGUUCUUUCUUUGAAAAUAUUUUCAAAAAAUGAUGUGCAAGAAAAGGGAAACAUGUGUAUCCCCAAAAAGCUACUAGAGUUCACGUAAAAGAUAUUUUGAAAACCUGAAAGCUUUCACACUCUCUCACUUUAUCCCCCCCUCCCCCCACAUUGCUCACUCUUUCUCUUUUAGAUUUUAGUUACUCCCUCUCUCUCCCUUCUUUUGGCAUGGCUGAGCCAAGAACACAAUACAGUGAAUGCAGCUAACAAGAAAUAUCAAAACAACGACAUGAGAGAGCUAGAGAGCUUCAAAAUGACGUCACUACAUCAGAACCUUCAAUGGCCACCAGUGGGAGCUCCAACGAAUAUCCGACAAGAGGAGCCAUGGAGAUCUCAGUUCAACGAUCCAGUCAACGCUGUUUCCUUUGGUUUUAUCGCCACCGCCAUUCUCAUCUC
rnacentral:lncRNA from 1 species